rnacentral:rRNA from 1 species
GCGCGAAACCUCCGCAAUGUGAGAAAUCGCGACGGGGGGAUCCCAAGUGCCAUUCUUAACGGGAUGGCUUUUCUUUAGUGUAAAAAGCUUUUGGAAUAAGAGCUGGGCAAGACCGGUGCCAGCCGCCGCGGUAACACCGGCAGCUCUAGUGGUAGCAAUUUUUAUUGGGCCUAAAGCGUCCGUAGCCGGUUUAAUAAGUCUCUGGUGAAAUCCUGUAGCUUAACUGUGGGAAUUGCUGGAGAUACUAUUAGACUUGAGACCGGGAGAGGUUAGAGGUACUCCCAGGGUAGAGGUGAAAUUCUGUAAUCCUGGGAGGACCGCCUGUUGCGAAGGCGUCUAACUGGAACGGUUUUGACGGUGAGGGACGAAAGUUAGGGGCGCGAACCGGAUUAGAUACCCGGGUAGUCCUAACUGUAAACGAUGCGGACUUGGUGUUGGGGUGGCUUUGAGCUGCUUCAGUGCCGAAGGGAAGCUGUUAAGUCCGCCGCCUGGGAAGUACGGUCGCAAGACUGAAACUUAAAGGAAUUGGCGGGGGAGCGACCACAACA